ACAUGCAAGCUGACGGAACUUUGGUGCUUGCACCGAAAGACGAGUGGCGAACGGGUGCGUAACGCGUAUGCAAUCUACCUUUUACUAGGGUAUAGCCCGAAGAAAUUCGGAUUAAUCCCCUAUAAUAUCAUGAAUUCGCAUGAUUUUAUGAUUAAAGCCUCGGCGGUAAAAGAUGAGCAUGCGUCCUAUUAGUUAGUAGGUGAGGUAACGGCUCACCUAGACUACGAUAGGUAGGGGUCCUGAGAGGGAGAUCCCCCACACUGGUACUGAGACACGGACCAGACUCCUACGGGAGGCAGCAGUGAGGAAUAUUGGACAAUGGACGAAAGUCUGAUCCAGCUAUGCCGCGUGCAGGAUGACGGCCCUAUGGGUUGUAAACUGCUUUUAUACAGGAAGAAAAAAUCCGACGUGUCGGAUCUUGACGGUACUGUAAGAAUAAGGAUCGGCUAACUCCGUGCCAGCAGCCGCGGUAAUACGGAGGAUCCAAGCGUUAUCCGGAAUCAUUGGGUUUACAGGGUCCGCAGGCGGCUCCUAAGUCAGAGGUGAAAUCCUACCGCUCAACGGUAGAACUGCCUUUGAUACUGGCAAACUCGAGUCAUCGUGAAGUAGUCAGAAUGUGUAGUGUAGCGGUGAAAUGCAUAGAUAUUACACAGAAUACCGAUUGCGAAAGCACAUACUAACAAUAUACUGACGCUGAGGGACGAAAGCGUGGGGUA
rnacentral:rRNA from 1 species